AGCUCCAAUAGCGUAUAUUAAAGUUGUUGCAGUUAAAAAGCUCGUAGUUGGAUUUCGGGACAGAAUGCACGGUGGGCCGCAAGGUUUUACUGGACGUUCUGUUCUUCCUUCUGUAGACCACCUCUCUUCUUAACUGAAUGGAGGCCCGGGAUGCAGAUCGUUUACUUUGAAUAAAUUAGAGUGUUCAAAGCAGGCAUUUGCUUGAAUACGUUAGCAUGGAAUAAUAGAAUAGGACUUUGGUUUUAUUUUGUUGGUUUCUAAGACCGAAGUAAUGAUUAAUAGGGAUAGUUGGGGGCAUUAAUAUUUAAUUGUCAGAGGUGAAAUUCUUGGAUUUAUGAAAGAUUAACUUCUGCGAAAGCAUUUGCCAAGGAUGUUUUCAUUAAUCAAGAACGAAAGUACG
rnacentral:rRNA from 1 species